CCCCGCCCACUUAAUAAACAAUUUAUAUAAAAAAAACAGCGAUCCGUAAAAAUCGCUGUUUUUUUAUACAAAUUGUUUAUUAAGUGGGCGGGGUUUAAAGUUGAGGGGCGAAGCGUCUUCUUAACUUCUUCCUCGAGGUUU
rnacentral:ncRNA from 1 species